CCUACGGGGGGCAGCAGUGGGGAAUAUUGCGCAAUGGGCGAAAGCCUGACGCAGCGACGCCGCGUGAGGGAUGAAGGUCUUCGGAUCGUAAACCUCUGUCAGCAGGGAAGAACGGUCACUGUGCUAAUCAGCAGUGAAUUGACGGUACCUGCAAAGGAAGCCCCGGCUAACUCCGUGCCAGCAGCCGCGGUAAUACGGAGGGUGCGAGCGUUAAUCGGAAUUACUGGGCGGAAAGCGCUCGUAGGCGGUAUGUCAAGUCAAGGGUGAAAUCCCGGGGCUCAACGUGGGAACUGCCUUUGAAACUGGCAAACUUGAGUGUGUGAGAGGAUAGUGGAAUUCCAGGUGUAGGAGUGAAAUCCGUAGAUAUCAGGAGGAACAUCAGUGGCGAAGGCGACUAUCUGGCACAUGACUGACGCUGAGGAACGAAAGCGUGGGGAGCAAACAGGAUUAGAUACCCUAGUAGUC
rnacentral:rRNA from 1 species